rnacentral:SRP_RNA from 1 species
UGUUAGCUCCAAACACUGUACUAUUGAAUAUUUGGUCAGAUUUGGAAAAAAGCAGCCAUCUCAAUUUAUACAGGUGUUUUGAUUAAGCUAACAAAA